CACGGCUCUGUCUCGUUCACUAGGGUGGGCGGCGGCGGCGGUAGCGGUACGUCCGGGGCGAGGCAGGCCGGGUGGGGCACGGCCCGAAGCGGCUGAGGGCGGAGGGGAGAUGGUUGCUGCCGGUCCCGGCGGAGAAGAUGGGGCCGACGUAGGGGGAGAGGAAGAGGGGCUCGGGGUCCGGCAGCGGCGAGCGGUGGGGGAAGUGGGGCUCGGGGUCUAGCGGGUGGAGGAGGAGGAGGAGGAGGCCGUGGGAGGAGCUGCUGCGGCCACCGCUGCUACGCCAGCGCUGCCUCGUGGCGCGGCACGAGGUGAUGUUCUGCCGCGCGUUGCUGGUGGUGCUGGCGACGCAGCGGGAGGAGUGGCUGCGGCGCGCGCUCCGGCUGCGCGAGGCGGACGUUUUACUCUUCGAGGCGCUCCAGUUGACGCUGGACCGGACGGCGAAGCGGUCCGAGCCGUUGCUGGUCCGGCGGAGUUCGGAGGAGGACGAGCCCGUCUACGGCCGGUGGGGCCGCCCCUUCGUGCGGGCCUACGGGUUCUCGUAGAGGUAGGCGGCCAGCUGACCCUCGCCGCCGCCGGUGCGGUUCCCAGACGAGUGGUUGCUGUAGCAGUGCCUCUCGCGGUUCCGUCUCCUCGUGGCCCAGUCGUGGUUCCGUCUCCUCGUGGUGCAGCCGGAACGGUUCCGCCUCCCCGUGGUGCAGCCGCGGUUCCGGCUCCUCUCGCCGUUCCACGCGUUCCGGCGGCGGCUUGAGUUGCAGAUGUGGGUCCCGUGCAUGUUUUGUCUCGACACGGCGUUAACCCUCUCGUGUCCUCACACGGGGAUGCUACUGUUAACGGCCAAGCUAUGACUCGAGGCGGGUCAGUCGGCGGUGGGCGCGAUGUUCUGGGUCCGUACGGCGGACAAGCGGUCGCCGGAGACGUAAAUGCCCGUGGCGACGGUGAAAACGGUGAGGCCGGCGGGCACU
rnacentral:rRNA from 1 species